rnacentral:lncRNA from 1 species
CACCUCCUUCCCACCCUUCUCCAGAUUCUCCAGCUCCCUCUUUAGCAGACCCAGCCCCACUCUGGGGCACCCUGCCUUCCCGGGACCUGUUGUCACAGUCACCCACUCUGAAUGCCAGGGCCUGGCCGGUCCAGCCUGGGGACCGUGGGACCGCUCUGGGCAGUGCCUCCCUACCGGGGCCCAGGUGGGUAUGGAUUUCUUUCUUCUGGGCCAUUGCACCCGCCAGAAGGCACGGUGGGAGAGGCAGGCCCACAUUUCAGAGGGCCUUGCUGCCCCCAUGUGGCAUGAGGCUGUAGCGGCUGCAGCCUCUUCCCUCCCUCCUGCCACUGCUCCCAGAGCCAAAGCUCUUGCAGGGGAAAAGGAAGAGAAAGGAAGCAGGAAUGUGAGAGAAAUGAGAAAGAGGGAUGGGCUAGGGAAGAGGGAAGCCCUUCUGCAUUACCUGGAAAUGCAGCAACAACAAUAACAAAGUCAAUGGUAAGAAUAAGUUUAAAGGCAGCUGCCACGCAGCACUUUUUAUAGCUUGUAGAUUCUUUCAUUUAAUCCUGGCACAUCAAUCUGAUCUAUUAUUAGUUUUAUAGGUGAUGAUCCAAGGCUCAAUUAUUUAUUUAUUUUAUUUUAUUUUAUUUUUGAGAUGGAGUUUCGCUCUUGUUGCCCAGGCUGGAAAGCAAUGGCGUGAUCUCGGCUCACUACAACCUCUGCCUCCCAGGUUCAAGUGAUUCUCCUGCCUCAGCCUCCCAAGUAGCUGGGAUUACAGGUAUGCGCCACCACCCCGGCUAAUAAUUUUGUAUUUUUAGUAGAGAUGGGGUUUCUCCAUGUUGGUCAGGCUGGUCUUGAACUCCCGACCUCAGGUGAUCCGUCCGCCUUGACCUCCCAAAGUGCUGGGAUUACAGGCAUGAGCCACCGCGCCCGGCCCCAAGGCUCAAUUAUUUAUUCCUCAGCUAGUAGGUGACAGAGCCCAGAUCCAAUCUGACCCCAGAACCCUAACCACGAUAUUCCCCUAUCUAGAAGGAGCCAGUUCUCUCCUGCCACCCCCACUGCUCAGCCUCCCGGAGUUCCAGCCACCAGCCAUCUGCACCCUCCCCUCCAUGUGGCAUUGCCCUCUGUUCUCCUGUCCCCUCUCUCUCCAAGGUCCAAGUGGUCAAGGUCAUCCCAAGGGUCUGCUGGGACCAUGUGUCCUUAUUCUGUGCCUUGCUGGUCACCAACCUUCCCCAUCUGCCAAGGACCGAUGUCCAGCCCAGGCCCAGGGGCAGGUGCCCAGGUCAUUUUUGCCACUGAGUAAAGGGAGACAGAAUGACAGGGUAAAUUACCAACCCCCAGAACACCAUGGUGCCAAUAGCAUCAAUGCAAGUGAAGUAUAUUUAUCUGUUGGCCUGAAAACAUGUCCUAGUAUAUUGUUCCAUUAAGAAAAAAGCAGGUUAUAAAGCUGUGUACAGCAAGAAACAUUUUAUAAGUGAAACAAAAGUAUUCUCUGUUUCUAUGCAGAGAAAAAGGAUAUUUGCCAAGAUGUUAACAGACUAUUUUUGCUGUCUUCUCUUGGCUUAUUUUUGUUUUCUCUUUUUCAAUGAACACCAAUUAGUCACAUGAUUUUAAAAAGCAAUAAAAAUAAACCAAUCCCAGACGGAUUGUACUUCUUCCUGUCCUCAUUUCUACCCCAACGAGUCUCCAAAAAAAAAAAAAA